GUAGUCCAUGCCGUAAACGUUGGGAACUAGGUGUGGGGCUCGUUCCACGAGUUCCGUGCCGCAGCAAACGCAUUAAGUUCCCCGCCUGGGGAGUACGGCCGCAAGGCUAAAACUCAAAGGAAUUGACGGGGGCCCGCACAAGCGGCGGAGCAUGCUGAUUAAUUCGAUGCAACGCGAAGAACCUUACCAAGGCUUGACAUAUACCGAAAACUCAUGGAGACAUGGGGUCCGCAAGGGCGGUAUACAGGUGGUGCAUGGUUGUCGUCAGCUCGUGUCGUGAGAUGUUGGGUUAAGUCCCGCAACGAGCGCAACCCUCGUCCUAUGUUGCCAGCACGUAAUGGUGGGGACUCAUAGGAGACUGCCGGGGUCAACUCGGA
rnacentral:rRNA from 1 species